GAUGAACGCUGGCGGCGUGCCUAAUACAUGCAAGUCGAGCGAACAGACGAGGAGCUUGCUCCUCUGACGUUAGCGGCGGACGGGUGAGUAACACGUGGAUAACCUACCUAUAAGACUGGGAUAACUUCGGGAAACCGGAGCUAAUACCGGAUAAUAUAUUGAACCGCAUGGUUCAAUAGUGAAAGACGGUUUUGCUGUCACUUAUAGAUGGAUCCGCGCCGCAUUAGCUAGUUGGUAAGGUAACGGCUUACCAAGGCAACGAUGCGUAGCCGACCUGAGAGGGGGACCGGCCAACAGGGAAGUGAGACACGGGCCAAAACCAAGGGGGAGGCAAGAGUAGGGAAUUUUCGGAAAGGGGGGAAAGCAUAAAGGAGAAACGCGGGGGGAGGUAAGAAGGGCUGGGGAACGUAAAAAUUUUUUAUUGGGGAAAAAAAAAAGUGAAAGAAAAUAGGCAAGUUUGAAGGGUACCAAAGAAGAAAACCAGGGUUAAUUAGGU
rnacentral:rRNA from 1 species